rfam:Camelus ferus unplaced genomic scaffold scaffold1472, whole genome shotgun sequence.
GUGGGUAGGGCUAAGUGGCAGAGCAUGUUCUUGGCAUGCACAGCGUCCUGGGUUCAAUCCCCAGUGCCUCCA